rnacentral:rRNA from 1 species
AGUGAACGCUGGCGGUAGGCCUAACACAUGCCAGUCGAACGGCAGCACAGUAAGAGCUUGCUCUUACGGGUGGCGAGUGGCGGACGGGUGAGGAAUACAUCGGAAUCUACUUUUUCGUGGGGGAUAACGUAGGGAAACUUACGCUAAUACCGCAUAUGACCUACGGGUGAAAGCAGUGGAUCUUCGGACCUUGCGCGAUUGAAUGAGCCGAUGUCGGAUUAGCUAGUUGGCGGGGUAAAGGCCCACCAAGGCAACGAUCCGUAGCUGGUCUGAGAGGAUGAUCAGCCACACUGGAACUGAGACACGGUCCAGACUCCUACGGGAGGCAGCAGUGGGGAAUAUUGGACAAUGGGCGCAAGCCUGAUCCAGCCAUACCGCGUGAGUGAAGAAGGCCUUCGGGUUGUAAAGCCCUUUUGUUGGGAAAGAAAAGCAGCAGGUUAAUCCCCCGCUGUUCUGACGGUACCCAAAGAGUAAGCACCGGCUAACUUCGUG